AUGGGCUUGGGCCCGAGGUGGUCGCCGUGGGCGGCGUUGCCGUUCUCUCCUCGAUCUCGCAAGGGAGGCGGAGGGGGGUGGGGAUUGGGAGGGCUCAAGGCCAUCGGGUGGAUCCUCUUCGCCGGCGUCUCCUUCCGUCUGCUCUGCUCCUUCUCUUCCUCUUCGUCUCUGUCGCCGGAUAUCAAGGAAGGAAAAUGUGACCUUUUCAAUGGAGAAUGGCUACCAAAUCCCUCUGGCCCAGCCUAUACAAAUUCAAGUUGUCGAUUUAUUGAUGAUCACCAAAAUUGUAUGAGGAAUGGUAGACCAGACACUGGAUAUCUUCACUGGAGGUGGAAACCUUAUGAAUGUGAUUUGCCACCGUUUGAUGAAAUUAGAUUUCUAGGUGCUAUGAGGAACAAAGCAUGGGGCCUUAUCGGUGACUCCAUUCUUCGUAACCAAGUUCAGUCCUUGAUAUGCCUUCUGUCUAAGGCUGAUGAACCUGUUGAGGUCUACCAUGAUAAAGAAUUCAAAAAUAGGAGAUGGCACUUCCAAUCAUACAACUUCACUGUGUCCCUCGUUUGGGCUCCCUUCCUCGUCAAAUCAGAGGUUUUUGAAAAUGAGAAUGGCGAGUCCACUUCCGAGAUCCAGCUUCACCUUGACAUACUUGAACCAACCUGGAUAAGUCAGUACGAGAGGUUUGACUAUGUUGUGAUUGCCGGUGGACAAUGGUUUCUUAAGACUGCGGUCUACUGGGAGAGUGGUAAGGUGUUAGGCUGUCAUCAUUGCCAGGACAAGAACCUAACUGAAGUCGGGUUUGAGCACUUGUAUCGCAGGACUUUACAAGAGGUACUCAAAUUCAUCUCCUCGGCGCACCAUAAGCCAGUUGUCCUCUUCAGAACCUGGGCGCCUGAUCACUUUGAGAAUGGCGAGUGGUUCAGCGGCGGAACCUGUAACAGGGUAUUGCCUUACAAGAAGGGAGAGUACGGUGGGAAAUACAUGGAACAUAUCAUGAGGGGGAUUGAGCUUGAGGAGUUCAACAAGGCCGUAACAGCGGCCAAUAGCUCAAGGGACGCGGUGAAACUGAAGCUCUUGGACACUUACAGCAUUUCGUCCAUGAGACCUGACGGCCAUGCUGGUCCUUACAGGAUGUUCCAUCCAUUUGCACAGGGCAACAAGGAUGGCUCAUCGGUUCAGAAUGAUUGCCUGCAUUGGUGCGUGCCAGGGCCCAUCGACGCCUGGAACGAUCUGAUUAUGAAGCUAGUUCUCAACUGA
rnacentral:rRNA from 1 species